rnacentral:rRNA from 1 species
CCUACGGGGGGCUGCAGUGGGGGAUAUUGCACAAUGGGGGGAACCCUGAUGCAGCGACGCCGCGUGGGUGAAGAAGCGCCUCGGCGCGUAAAGCCCUGUCAGCAGGGAAGAAAAUGACGGUACCUGAAGAAGAAGCCCCGGCUAACUACGUGCCAGCAGCCGCGGUAAUACGUAGGGGGCAAGCGUUAUCCGGAUUUACUGGGUGUAAAGGGGGCGCAGACGGCGAUGCAAGCCAGGAGUGAAAGCCCGGGGCUCAACCCCGGGACUGCUCUUGGAACUGCGUGGCUGGAGUGCAGGAGGGGCAGGCGGAAUGCCUGGUGGAGCGGUGAAAUGCGUAGAUAUCAGGAGGAACACCGGUGGCGAAGGCGGCCUGCUGGACUACAACUGACGUUGAGGCCCGAAAGCGUGGGGAGCAAACAGGAUUAGAUACCCGUGUAGUC